UACGUAGGGGGCGAGCGUUAUCCGGAUUUACUGGGUGUAAAGGGAGCGUAGACGGCCAUGCAAGCUCGGUGUGAAAGGUGCGGGCACAACCCGCAGACUGCACUGAGAACUGUAUGGCUGGAGUGCCGGAGGGGCAGGCGGAAUUCCUGGUGUAGCGGUGAAAUGCGUAGAUAUCAGGAGGAACACCGGUGGCGAAGGCGGCCUGCUGGACGGCGACUGACGUUGAGGCUCGAAAGCGUGGGGAGCGAACAGG
rnacentral:rRNA from 1 species